rnacentral:rRNA from 1 species
CUACGGGUGGCACCAGUGGGGAAUAUUGCACAAUGGGCGCAAGCCUGAUGCAGCCAUGCCGCGUGUAUGAAGAAGGCCUUCGGGUUGUAAAGUACUUUCAGCGGGGAGGAAGGGAGUAAAGUUAAUACCUUUGCUCAUUGACGUUACCCGCAGAAGAAGCACCGGCUAAGUCCGUGCCAGCAGCCGCGGUAAUACGGAGGGUGCAAGCGUUAAUCGGAAUUACUGGGCGUAAAGCGCACGCAGGCGGUUUGUUAAGUCAGAUGUGAAAUCCCCGGGCUCAACCUGGGAACUGCAUCUGAUACUGGCAAGCUUGAGUCUCGUAGAGGGGGGUAGAAUUCCAGGUGUAGCGGUGAAAUGCGUAGAGAUCUGGAGGAAUACCGGUGGCGAAGGCGGCCCCCUGGACGAAGACUGACGCUCAGGUGCGAAAGCGUGGGGAGCAAACAGGAUUAGAUACCCCCGUAGUC